UACCAGACUCCUACGGGAGGCAGCAGUGGGGAAUAUUGCACAAUGGGGGGAACCCUGAUGCAGCGACGCCGCGUGGGUGAAGAAGUAUUUCGGUAUGUAAAGCCCUAUCGGCAGGGAAGAAAUUGGACAGUACCUGACUAAGAAGCCCCGGCUAACUACGUGCCAGCAGCCGCGGUAAUACGUAGGGGGCAAGCGUUAUCCGGAUUCACUGGGUGUAAAGGGAGCGUAGACGGCCAUGCAAGCCUGGAGUGAAAGCCCGGGGCCCAACCCCGGGACUGCUCUGGGAACUGUGCGGCUGGAGUGCGGGAGGGGCAGGCGGAAUUCCUGGUGUAGCGGUGAAAUGCGUAGAUAUCAGGAGGAACACCGGCGGCGAAGGCGGCCUGCUGGACCGUGACUGACGUUGAGGCUCGAGAGCGUGGGGAGCAAACAGGAUUAGAUACCCCUGUA
rnacentral:rRNA from 1 species